GUCCCAAGUGUGCCUUCUAAGCUCUAGGAAGGAAAAUUUGAUCGAACAACUAAAAGGAAAAUCUGAUUCGGCACAGCAUCACGUGGAGGACACAAGGCUUAACUGCAGCCAGGUGGUGGCAACUGGGCAAUGAAGCCCCACCAGGCAAGCAGCAAGGCAGUACUGGAGGCAUGAUGCGUUCCUGCGCCUCCCAUUGUCGCCAACUGGAACAGGCAUGGCAACUCGUAGAGAGAAGUGGCCAGUGCCUGUAACUGUUCAUGUUAGGCACAGAAACUCACAAAAUCCCUGUGUACUGUCAUUUUAAUCCAGAGAUAACAGCUGAAUUAAAAUAAAAUCACAGAAAG